CGCGACUAUAAAUUAGGUUCCAGGCUUGGCUAUCGGCAUUCUUCUGCAAACCAACAUAAGAUGGAGCCAGAGCAAGCAGACACACAGGCCCGUGGAGAAGCCCGUUCUGAUGGCCAUCAUGAUGGAGUCGUUGCCUUCACAGCCAAACUGGCUGUGAAGGCAACUACCCGAGCCAUACUGGAAUCCUGAAGUUCGCUAACGUCUCCGCGAACACAGCUCGGGCCUACAACAAUGAUAGCGGCAUUUUCACCAUGCCCUCGGAAGGGCUAUUACCACUUCAUGGUGCACAUGUCUGUGUAUGGCCGGGGCCAAUGUGCCAUACGAAAGAAUGGUGAGAUUGUAGCGACACUGUAUGACACCAGUCUGCCUGAUAAGUGCAGCCAAGUAUCAACUGUCAGCUGUGUUGUCGAAUUAGAGAAAAAUGAUAAUGUCUGGGUUUCUACAUAUGGCCCUGGUCGAAAUGACUUCUUUGCGACUGCUGAUAACGACAGCAUUUUUGUUGGAUUUCGUUUGGGAUAAUCGGUUUUCGUUUCAUUCUUUCUUAUUGCAAUCAUUGCCAAAUUUAGUAUUUUUUAGAUCAAAGUCGAAUGUAAUAUGUUUUGCCUCCUACUAGAUUCUUCUUUGUGUAAAAUGUGAACAUUGUUUAGAAACAAAUCAGGUUGUAUAUGAUCGAGAUAUUUUAGUUCUGUAAUGCUGCGGUUGAAUUAAAUGAUAAAUCUACUUGCGAUCAACCUUGAAGCCAUUAUAAUCCAGAAUUGUGAGUUUAGGCGAAUAUUUUUAAUGUAUAAUAUGUAACAUUUCCUCCUUACAAUAAAAAAAAUUGGCAUCGAUAAAAUCCUAUAACCUU